rnacentral:rRNA from 1 species
UACGUAGGGUGCAAGCGUUGUCCGGAAUUAUUGGGCGUAAAGAGCUCGUAGGCGGUUUGUCGCGUCUGCUGUGAAAAUCCAGGGCUUAACCCUGGACCUGCAGUGGGUACGGGCAGACUAGAGUGCGGUAGGGGAGAUCGGAAUUCCUGGUGUAGCGGUGAAAUGCGCAGAUAUCAGGAGGAACACCGGUGGCGAAGGCGGAUC